AUACGUAGGUGGCAAGCGUUGUCCGGAUUUAUUGGGCGUAAAGCGAGCGCAGGCGGUUUCUUAAGUCUGAUGUGAAAGCCCCCGGAUCCACCGGGGAGGGUCAUUGGAAACUGGGAGCCUUGAGUGACGCAGAGGGGAGUGGGAUUCCAUGUGUAGCGGGGAAAUGCGUAGAUAUAUGGAGGAACACCAGUGGCGAAGGCGACUCUCUGGUCUGUAACUGACGCUGAGGCUCGAAAGCGUGGGGAGCAAACAGGAUUAGAUACCCUGGUAGUCCACGCCGUAAACGAUGAGUGCUAAGUGUUGGAGGGUUUCCGCCCUUCAGUGCUGCAGCUAACGCAUUAAGCACUCCGCCUGGGGAGUACGACCGCAAAGUUGAAACUCAAAGGAAUUGACGGGG
rnacentral:rRNA from 1 species